AGUGAACGCUGGCGGUAGGCCUAACACAUGCAAGUCGAACGGCAGCACAGUAAGAGCUUGCUCUUACGGGUGGCGAGUGGCGGACGGGUGAGGAAUACAUCGGAAUCUACUUUUUCGUGGGGGAUAACGAAGGGAAACUUACGCUAAUACCGCAUACGACCUACGGGUGAAAGCAGGGGAUCUUCGGACCUUGCGCGAUUGAAUGAGCCGAUGUCGGAUUAGCUAGUUGGCGGGGUAAAGGCCCACCAAGGCGACGAUCCGUAGCUGGUCUGAGAGGAUGAACAGCCACACUGGAACUGAGACACGGUCCAGACUCCUACGGGAGGCAGCAGUGGGGAAUAUUGGACAAUGGGCGCAAGCCUGAUCCAGCCAUACCGCGUGGGUGAAGAAGGCCUUCGGGUUGUAAAGCCCUUUUGUUGGGAAAGAAAAGCAGCAGGUUAAUACCCCGCUGUUCUGACGGUACCCAAAGAAUAAGCACCGGCUAACUUCGUG
rnacentral:rRNA from 1 species